rnacentral:rRNA from 1 species
AUUGAACGCUGGCGGCAUGCCUUACACAUGCAAGUCGAACGGUAACAGGUCUUCGGAUGCUGACGAGUGGCGAACGGGUGAGUAAUACAUCGGAACGUGCCCGAUCGUGGGGGAUAACGGAGCGAAAGCUUUGCUAAUACCGCAUACGAUCUACGGAUGAAAGCAGGGGACCGCAAGGCCUUGCGCGGACGGAGCGGCCGAUGGCAGAUUAGGUAGUUGGUGGGAUAUAAGCUUACCAAGCCGACGAUCUGUAGCUGGUCUGAGAGGACGACCAGCCACACUGGGACUGAGACACGGCCCAGACUCCUACGGGAGGCAGCAGUGGGGAAUUUUGGACAAUGGGCGAAAGCCGGAUCCAGCAAUGCGGCGUGAAGGAUGAAGGCCUUCGGGUUGGAAACUGCUUUUGUACGGAACGAAAAGACUCUUUCUAAUAAAGAGGGUCCAUGACGGUACCGUAAGAAUAAGCACCGGCUAACUACGUG